rnacentral:lncRNA from 1 species
GUAUUUGCUAAGAGCGGUACGCCUAUAGCUGGGAUUUAUGAUGCAGAGCUCUGCACUUGGACCUGAAUAUGCUGGAAUCCAUCAGGGCGCUCUACCUGCAAGCUGAUGAGAGAAGGCAAUGUUUUUGCUAGCAAAGAAAGAGAAGGUAACGUUUCCAGUCAGCAGGUUGCAUGGCGUGAAUUGAUCGGUGCAUGUGCUGGAUGAAAAGAAUCGUGGCGUUUUGUGUCCAUGCUUGUAGAUAGUGGUGGCAGCUGACAUUUAGACCUAGUAGCCCAAUCCUGUGUAUACCUGUCCGUGUUACCCCUGUACAUACUAUAGAGUUAGAUGAGUUUAACCUUGCGCGUGUCGUUCUUAAGCGCAUAUCGCUCUUGUGCAGCUUGGAAAUGCCGUUCUAGCAAGCUGCAGUUUUGCUGAUCCAUAACCUGAGGGUAGUCUGGCCAUAGUUGUUUUCAUUGAUUGCCUGUAUGUAAUCGAAAUCUGAUCUCAUUGAAAGGAAGCGAUUUUUUGGUAUAUGAUGUGAAGCCUUUGUUCCUGUGCUCGUCAUUCACCCAGUGUUGCAAUGACUAAAAGGGAUCUGCUUUCCCCCUACGAAACAAUGACUAAAGGGAUUCUGCUUUCCCCCUACGAAAAUGGAUUCGGAC